UAUACCUGCUGGCGUCGGUCUGGUGUAUUACGUGGGCGGUUAGGGUUGUCGGGUGUCAUUGAGUGUAGAGCGAGUGUAGGCGGCUGGCGAAGUCCGCUCUGAAGGUCCGGGGCUCACCCCCGGGAGGCGGGUUGAUACGGGUCAGCUCGAGUCCGGAAGAGGAGUGUUGAAUUCCUGGUGUAGCGGUGAAAUGCGCAGAUAUCAGGAGGAACACCGAUGGCGAAGGCAGCACUCUGGGACGGUACUGACGCUGAGACGCGAAAGCGUGGGGAGCAAACAGGAUUAGAUACCCGGUUAGUC
rnacentral:rRNA from 1 species